ACCCAGCGCAGACGGGCACGCCCCAGGCAUCUCUAGGGGAGAAUCUCUUUGAACGGCUCACUCUCAAGCACAACUUGGAGG
rnacentral:pre_miRNA from 1 species